GGUGUAGCCAAGCGGUAAGGCACUAGACUUUGACUCUAGCAUGCGUAAGUUCGAAUCUUGCCAC
rnacentral:tRNA from 2 species